rnacentral:rRNA from 1 species
UACGUAGGUGGCAAGCGUUGUUCGGAAUUACUGGGCGUAAAGGGCUCGUAGGCGGCCAACUAAGUCGGAUGUGAAAUCCCCAGGCUUAACUUGGGAACUGCAUCCGAUACUGGAUGGCUUGAAUCCGGGAGAGGGAUGCGGAAUUCCAGGUGUAGCGGUGAAAUGCGUAGAUAUCUGGAGGAACACCGGUGGCGAAGGCGGCAUCCUGGACCGGCAUUGACGCUGAUGAGCGAAAGCCAGGGGAGCAAACGGG